rnacentral:lncRNA from 1 species
CUUUAUUAUGUUGUCACCUUGUUUUUGGACCUGUAAAACCAGGUACAAAAGAUGAAAACUUUCCGUCAAAUCAUUGAACCUUAUCCAAUCACGUGACAACUCUACACAUGAAAAUUAAAACUUGUUAUGAGUGACAAAAUUUGAGUGAAACAAUAAAGAAUAACGGAUUUUUGGUAAAGAAAAAUCAUGGGGAAGGAAGCGGUAAGUCAUACAAAGUUUAUUGUCGUAAUUCUAUCAGUUUAGUACUGACAUACUACAUAUUAUAUCAAAUUUAUGUAAAAACAAUUGUAAUUAAUUAUAAUAUAAAAAAAAGUUAAAUUGCAAUAAAGUUUGUUUUAUGAAAAAGAUAAAACAAACAAAAUUCCUACAAGAUUAAAAGUUAUUUUAAAAUACAAGAAGUUAUAAUUAUAGAUAAAAAUAGAAUGAUUUUUUUUCAAUAGAAAAUUUAAGGUCAAUAGAAAAAAAAAAACCGGUUUGAAUUUAAAUUUAAAAAUCAUUUUGGUGUAAGAGUAAUCUGUUACAGUUACAAUGUAAUCUAUCAUGGAUAUAAACUUAUUUGGUUCAUCAACAGGCACGCAUUUUAUAUGUUUCUAGUAAGAUAUAUGCAAACGUUGAUUAAAACUGUUUGAUUGCGACUUUUGCUGCACAAUGAUUACCAAAAUUUCCACUCCCCGGGCAGAUUUUGUAGAGCAGAACAGAGUGGCUCGAGUGUAAUGUGAUACAUCAUUAUUGUUUCCCUUUAACAAUUGAUUAAUCGUCUCGUUUCUGCCAAAGAACAAACACGAGCUCAUGUACAUGUAUGUUAGGUAUGAACUUCUAACAACUGGUUUAUUAUUGUAAGAGGAAAUGCAAAAUGGAUCUGUAUUCAUCUAUUUAAGGUCAAACGAAAACAGUCGCUUACUUUAUUUCUUAAGGAAAUUUUUUAGGGUAUUUGACCUCUUGGUAGCUACACCGUAUAUCCUCAAGUUUCAUAGGUUUGCUCUGCUUUAUGGAAAAUUUUUAUAAAUAAAAGACAUAGAAUAAAAAUAAAAAAGUUUGUCGUUUGUAAAUUUAAAAAUAAUUUCCAUUCAAAAAAGUAUUAUUCUCUAUCCUUCAAUAUCGCGGAAUACUGACACUUUGAGUCAUGGAUAAAUGAGAACUAUGCAGGUAUUUAACUUAUUAACCACAUAGAACACAGUGCACUUUGAUAUGGAAAACAUAAUUACGUAAUAAAAAAAAUGAAAACUUUCAUUAAGCUUAGUGACAGUUUGAAUAAAUGAAAUGAACCUAUUCAUAUUAAGACUUAUAUUCAAACAUAAUUUGCUUUUGCGCUCUGGUCCAUACUAAAAUGCAUAAUACUGUAAAAUGUUUUAUAACAUUGAAUAUCAUAUGAAAUUGGAAAGUACCCACGCGUGUACUUUAUCCUUUUCGUUAUUGUACAGAGUUUCACGAAUAUUUUUGAAUGUAAAGAAGAUAAAAAUAUUCUGUUCAGGUACAUUGUAUCAAAAGGAUCGCAUUACUAAGCUAAUAUGUGUGUAUGUGUUUCUAUAAACUUAUAGGCUCUGAUUUACUUUGGAAGGAGUCGAAGUAAAAUUACAUAUAUAAACGAAAUGAUGGCUAAACAAACCAAAAUCAUAAAAUAUGUUUGUUUUUCAUCUAACGCCUCAAAAUCAUGUCGGCAAGAAUACGCCCGAGGGAUACCGAAAAUUCGUGAACCGGAAAAGAACAAACAAGUUCAAAACUUAAUCUGUAUUCAUUGAUUAUUUACAGAAUACACAAAUCUACGAACGCCUUAUUAAUAGCUUAUAAGGUAUACAUACCUAGUAUGUGUGAACAAAAUUAUACAGCCAUUAAAUUCAUAUUUGCACACACAAGUUUUAAACUGAGCUCAGUGUUGCUAUCUAUUAAAAAAGAUUCGAUAAGCAGCUAACCAAAAUCUGCAUUAAAUUAAAAAAUUGAAUUUCACAUUUCGAUUCCACGAAUUGUUGCAGUAAUUAAAUAUUUGCUAUUGAAUCUAGAUUUCAAAACCGGAUCCGUCGCUAAAUGAAAAACUGUUGAGAGUGAUGGUUACUAUAUUCUUAAUCUGGUUACUGAAACUACUGAGUACACGAACUACUUUUUGCUUCAUUUGAUUUGCAUUUCUAGAUCAGCCUUGAUCAGGAAAAUUGUGAACGAAAGUUGUGAACAAAAUGUGAAGUUUGAUGACAACUUAGUUCUAUCUCUUACAAAAUUAAAAAAUUACAAAUUUGACACCAGAUAAAAACAAAUACUAGUAUUUAGUUACUAGCCCUUCAAACACUAUAACAGGCAAGAAAAAUUUAUUCCUGUAUAAUGAUAUCACCAAAUCAUAGGCAUGGGAUACUUAAAUAUUUAUAUACUUUAAAUAUGACACUUGUAAAUGCCUUAUAUACAUUGUAGCUGAAAUCGUUCACAAAAAAAGUAUUUAAAUUUUAAUUUGCAUUCGUUGUAAAUAUAUGUAUGUACAAAUGUAUCAAUUUAUUCUCAUCUGUUUUCAUACCACUAAUGUGAUAAUAUGUAUUGUAACGAAAACAUAGCUAAUCAUACAUUGAUGACGGAUUAAUGCUAUCAGAAAAGUAUGUGAUUUUCAUAUGCCAUAAAACAGAUUUAUUUCACCAUUUUCACACGAACGAUAUCCAGAUAAAAUUUAUAAUUUUCCCCAAUGCUGAUUUCUGUCAAUCGUCAAAGCCAUAAAGCAAAUAUAUUUAAUGUUCCCCUCAAAAUCUGCCAGCUUUCGUUUAGUCAUUGUGAUAUAGGUUUGUUUUUUAUACACAAAAAAUAGGAAGCUGAAAAAGCGGAUGUCUACAACGACCAGGUGAGAAUUGCAC